rnacentral:rRNA from 1 species
UACGUAGGCAGCGAGCGUUGUUCGGAGUUACUGGGCGUAAAGGGUGUGUAGGCGGUCUUUUAAGUUUGGUGUGAAAUCUCCCGGCUCAACCGGGAGGGUGCGCCGAAUACUGAGAGACUUGGAGUGCGGGAGAGGAAAGUGGAAUUCCUGGUGUAGCGGUGAAAUGCGUAGAUAUCAAGAGGAACACCAGUGGCGAAGGCGAGUCCCUGGACAACACCUGACACUGAGGCACGAAAGCCGGGGAGCAAACAGG